UACGUAGGGGGCAAGCGUUGUCCGGAUUUACUGGGCGUAAAGCGCGUGCAGGCGGAUUGGUAUGUGCCGUGUGAAAGCUCUCAGCUUGCCUGGGAGAGGUCGCGGUAGACAGCCGAUCUGGAGGCUCGGAGAGGGAUGUGGAAUUCCAGGUGUAGCGGUGAGAUGCGUAGAUAUCUGGAGGAACACCGGUGGCGAAGGCGGCAUCCUGGACCGGUAUUGACGCUGAGGAGCGAAAGCCAGGGGAGCAAACGGG
rnacentral:rRNA from 1 species